AUGGGCGCGAGCGCCGCAGUCAACGACAAGCGAGAUAGGCUCGUCGUUCGGGCCAUGAGCACCACGCUGCUCACCAGACGUGGGUUGCAACUGCUGCCUGCGCUUCGCCUGAAAAGGGGAAUCCGUGCCGGGCUGAGGGCCACGAAAGCCAGAAGAAGCGCCGGAAUGGGCACCACCAUGGGCAAUAGCGACGCCGAGGUCGCGGCCGCUCUGCAAGGGCGCCGUGCCGUGCUGCCCCGCCUGCUGGAGGGAGGAGCGUCACGCCACCGGCUGCGUCGACUCCUCUCGUGCGCCGCCGGUUGA
rnacentral:rRNA from 1 species